UGGCUCAUAUCUCAUUGGUGGUCAUAGUGGAGUGUCUGCAGCUCCACUUUAAGAAAAACUUUCAAAGUUGCUGAACCUACUCUGGGUAUAGGAUUCAGUACUUUGGCUAGUUCUAUUAAAGCCUGGAGUGGAUUCAUUGCUCCAUUUACAUGGAAGCCAUUAGAUGUUUAUUCAUUUACUCAAUACAGAAUCUGCAAUGGAGGAUACAAUUGCAGGAUCUGUACAAGCUAUUUAGCUUUUUCUUCAACAAGUCUCCUAAAGAGGAGUCCACAAUGUCCUGAGGAAGGCACCUGAAGGAAAAGACGGGAGGAAGGAUACUUUUUCUUCCUAAUAUUCCAAAGACAAAAGAAAAGGCAGUCCAAAGAAAUGAAAUUGAUUUCUGUGCCACCUUCCUCCCAAAUCUUGGUUUGUACGAGAUAAUUUUAAAAAGAGCUACAACCCUUCACACUAUUACAGCAUUACAUUAUAGUGUUAAAUACAAUGCUUUCUAAUAAAAAUGGACUUUUCUGAAGAAUUAAAAUUGUUUGUAAAUAAAGAAUUGAAUUAAAGCAG
rnacentral:lncRNA from 1 species